UGCAAGAGACUGAGCACCAAGUGGGGGCCAAGGCUCUUUAAUAGUCUGCUUUAGAGAAGGAGGUGGAAUGUUCACCACAGCACUAACCAGAGGAAGUUGUCCGCUCCUCACAGUCUUUGUGAGACUUCCGGUUGUUGCAUCUGAUGGAACAGUUUGUGACAGAGGUGACAGCUCCUGAUAAACAGCUGGUGCCCACACUAUGAAUUUAUUUGCUUCUGUAGAACACAGCCUGUGUCUCAGGGCACAGCUGCUGCUUGGACUGUGGCAGCUAUAGAGGAGUCCAGUAUGCCUGAGUCUAGGGUAAAGGAAAGGAGCUUGGUUCUUGGGCAUGAGUUCAAUUUUCCUUCUGAGCUGCUAAGAAGAAGCUAAGAUCAGUCCAUGACCUGGAUGAAGCAGAAACCAAUAGAGCUUCCUGGAGGAGAAAAUCAGCCAAGAUGCCUGGAAGAGGCAGAUGCCCCUGAACUGCAUGAAAAUGACCGAGAAGAAGUCAGAUGGAACACACUCAGGCUACCUGGAUGUCUGGAAAAGAAUCUUUCCAGUCUGUUGACCUGUGUGCAGGUUGUACUGUUCACUCCAAGUCUCCAGAUUUCAUGAGCUCUCACCCUUGCUGGGGUAAGGUUUUGGUGAUGCCACUGACUUUGAGUCAUUUUUGCUCCUAUAAGUAACCUUUCACUCAUAUUCCUGUAGAUAACCUCAAUAAAAUUUAUGGUUCACCA
rnacentral:lncRNA from 1 species